GAUCCUACGGGAGGCAGCAGUGAGGAAUAUUGGUCAAUGGACGCAAGUCUGAACCAGCCAUGCCGCGUGAAGGAUGAAGGCCUUCUGGGUUGUAAACUUCUUUUAUGUGGGAAGAAACCUCUGAUUUCUAUUAGAGUUGACGGUACCAUAGGAAUAAGCACCGGCUAACUCCGUGCCAGCAGCCGCGGUAAUACGGAGGGUGCAAGCGUUAUCCGGAUUUACUGGGUUUAAAGGGUGUGUAGGCGGGCUAUUAAGUCAGUGGUGAAAUCUCCGAGCUUAACUUGGAAACUGCCAUUGAUACUAUUAGUCUUGAAUUUUGUUGAGGUAGGCGGAAUAAGUCAUGUAGCGGUGAAAUGCAUAGAUAUGACUUAGAACACCAAUUGCGAAGGCAGCUUGCUAAACAAACAUUGACGCUGAGGCACGAAAGCGUGGGGAUCAAACAGGAUUAGAUACCCUAGUAGUCU
rnacentral:rRNA from 1 species